GCGGAGGUAGCCAAGUGGUCAAAGGCGCAGGACUUAGGAUCCUGUCCCGUAGGGGUUCGCAAGUUCGAAUCUUGUCCUCCGCA
rnacentral:tRNA from 1 species